rnacentral:tRNA from 2 species
GGGCGAUUAGUUCAGGCAGGUAGAACAGGCGAAACAAGCCAUUGUCCCCGGUUCGAAUCCGGGAUCGCUCA